GAUGAACGCUGGCGGCGUGCCUAAUACAUGCAAGUCGAGCGAACGGACGAGAAGCUUGCUUCUCUGAUGUUAGCGGCGGACGGGGGAGUAACACGUGGAUAACCUACCUAUAAGACUGGGAUAAAUUCGGGAAACCGGAGCUAAUACCGGAAAAUAUUUUGAACCGCAUGGUUCAAAAGUGAAAGACGGUCUUGCUGUCACUUAUAGAUGGAUCCGCGCUGCAUUAGCUAGUUGGUAAGGUAACGGCUUACCAAGGCAACGAUGCAUAGCCGACCUGAGAGGGUGAUCGGCCACACUGGAACUGAGACACGGUCCAGACUCCUACGGGAGGCAGCAGUAGGGAAUCUUCCGCAAUGGGCGAAAGCCUGACGGAGCAACGCCGCGUGAGUGAUGAAGGUCUUCGGAUCGUAAAACUCUGUUAUUAGGGAAGAACAUAUGUGUAAGUAACUGUGCACAUCUUGACGGUACCUAAUCAGAAAGCCACGGCUAACUACGUG
rnacentral:rRNA from 1 species